UCUGUUGGCAAGAAACGAUACAUUAAUAAAUAGGCGUGCCAAAUAAAUAACAUUGCUGUGUGAACUAAAAACUAUAAAAGUUUCAGUUUUCUCGCAAACAAAGUGGCGCCUCUAGCGGAAACUAUCAUGAAACUUUUGACAGAUAAUCUAUGCAGGUGACAGAAGAAAACAAAAAAAUUUUCGUUUACGUAAAUUGCAAAACCCGUACUAGAGGCCCUGAUACAGGAUGUGCUGCACCAUGAUUUUAUUUAUUUGGCUUUCCUAUGCAUUAUGCUGGUCUUCAGUUUCAAUAUCAUUUAAAUGACUUUAUUGUUUUAAAAUAAUGUAUUUCUACACUUACCUUCUCAUUAUAGAGGCAUGGCCCGGGGGCAGCGGCGGUAUUCCCGAAAAAAUAGGAAAGCUGAAAUUUAGAAGAAAAAAAAUAUUAAAUAAAGAUAUAAGAAGAGAUGUAAGAAGGCAAGCUGACAAUGGGAUGGUAUGUCUGCAAAGCCAAUCAUAAAGAACCAAAUAAACUGCUUAUGGGCUUAUGGUUAUAUUAAACCGAUUGCAUGUAUCUAUAUACUCGAAGCAUGUAUCAUAUUUGUUUUCUCAGCCUCACACUUUAACUCAGGUUCGCUGAAGCAUUGGCAAGCUGAAUGUGAGAUGGUAUGUUGAUGUCCUGUACAUUGACACGGAAAUGAGGCAUUGAAGAUGUUAUGUUGGGGACAAUGCAUGAUAGAACAGUGAGUUUAUAAUCACUGUUGGCUGACUGGAUAGCAAAUCGAGCCUUUUGGUUGGUUGUGUUGGAAGCAUUGCACACACCAACAAUUGUUUUCUUCAUCGAAGAACUCAGUAUUAAUUCGCUUAGCUAGAUCCUUUAGGAUAAAAUUUACAGAGCUCCCUGAAUCUAGUAGAGCUCUAGCAUAGAUAUGCUCACCAUUUUUAGCUUGAAGCUUGACAGAUAUUGUAGGCAAUAAUACCUCACUCUGUAUGUUAGACAUCAAUGAAACAUGAUUAGUAGCAGCAGCGGCAGCGGGUUGGCUAUUAUGAAGCAAGGUGUUGUGCUUGCCUUUGUAGAUACCACACUUAAAGAAAUAUCUGCAUUUUUGGUGGUUGUUGAGGCAUAUAGUGCAUAGCUUAUUGUUGGCCACAUAUGAAAUCCUUUCAUGCACUGCAGCUAGUUUAAACUUUUCACAUCUAAAUAGUUUGUGAUUAGAAGCAUGACAGUACUUACAUGUGGGUUCUUCAGUGAUGGGUUUGAUGUUGUUAGCUAUGUAUGACGGCUUUUUUGGAGUGUCCUUACUCACACUCUGGCCUGUAGACUCGCAGGAUGUGAUGUUUCCCAUUGCUGCAGCUCUUUUUUCUAGAAAAGUCAAAGAAAGUGAAACCCUUGCAAUGUAUAUUGAUCUAGUUUCCGCUGAAUGAUCGCAAUUAUUAUUAAGUCGCAUGAGUCAACCGGUAUAUUUAAGCCUUUCAACGCACUACUAUGCUGUCUGACUGUAGCUAUGAAUUCCCUUAUAUUCUGUGCUGUACAUUUAGUGAUCGGUUUCAUAUCUAAUAUUGAGUUUAUGUGGUGGUUUAUAACAAUCAAUUUAUUGUCAUAACGCUUGGCUAGUAGUUCCAGAGCAAUCACAUAGUUAGAACUGUCCAGAGAUAGAUGUUUUAUUAGAUCUAACGCCUCCCCAUAAACAAGAGAACGCAGAUAGUAAAACUUAUCACAUCGGGAUAACCUAUCAUGUGCAAAUACACUUUGGAACAAGUUCAUAAACGCAUAGUAUUCACUAACUGUGCCACCGAAUUUUGGUAUCUCAAUAGGAGGAAGCCUGUUGUGGUUUGUGUGAGAGUUAGUAGAGUUACGUACCUUUUCAGAUGUCUGUACCAUCUGUUGUCAUUUGGACGCUUGCGCUGUUAUCCAAGUAGGUAAAAGUCUUGUUUACUGUAAUUCUUCACUUGCUGCUGUCUGUUUGUUUGGAUAACAUUUUGUUUACAUUGAGAUUUGAAA